rnacentral:RNase_P_RNA from 2 species
UACAGCGAGUAGUCGCUGUUUCGCAAAAACGAAGCAGAGGAAAGUCGAGACACGCACAUCCGACAAUGCCCAAAGGCAAAGUCCGGAUGUAAAAUGGUGCCCGGUGUAAGCCGGGGCAGGGCGACCUGACGACGGUGAAAGCAACUCCUUGAGUUGCCGGUAACCUUAAAGUGCCACAGAAACAAAGUCACCGGGCGACCGGUGAGUGCAAGGGUAAACUCCACCAGCGUGCAACCCAAAUAGGCGGGGGCGUUUGCCACCCGCGGGUAGGGGCACCUCGCCCCGGCGAGGAAGGAGAGGGCAUCUCCUUAGAUAGAUGACUACUGAAACAGAAUCUCGCUUACGGCU